GAUGAACGCUAGCUACAGGCUUAACACAUGCAAGUAGAGGGACCGGCGCACGGGUGAGUAACACGUAUCCAACCUGCCCUUUCCGCGGGGAUAGCCUUUCGAAAGAAAGAUUAAUACCCGAUGUAAAGGAUGGGGAUGCGUUCCAUUAGGUUGUUGGUGAGGUAACGGCUCACCCAGCCUUCGAUGGAUAGGGGUUCUGAGAGGAAGGUCCCCCACAUAGGAACUGGGACACGGUCUAAACUCCUAAGGGAGGCAGCAUGGAGGAAUAUUGGGAAAUGGGCGGUAGACGGAACCAGCCAAGUAGCGUGAAGGAUGAAGGCAAAUGGGGCGUAAACUUCUUUUAUAUAAGAAUAUGUAUUAUAGGAAUAAGGAUCGGCUAACUCCGUGCCAGCAGCCGCGGUAAUAC
rnacentral:rRNA from 1 species